AAGACCUGGGUUUGAAUACUAAGACUUCACAGUUUUUCAUUCUGGAAAAUAAGGAAAGGUUAAGCUGUUCUUCGGCAAAAGCAACUGUAAUAUCCCCAGGAGCUCAGAGAAAUCAUGGAUUGUUGGACAUCCAUCAUCGUGUGCAGAGGGCUCUGCUGUAUUUCGUCUAUUCUCCAGGACAGGUUACUGGACGAUAUCAUCCGUCUGAAACAUCAGUGUUUGUGGUAGUCCAGGAAAGAAAAGAUGGCUUUAAAAGAUCCAUCCUGAAAUACUCUAAACCUUCCUCAUCCAUGUGUCAUUUAACAAAACAAGUCACAUGCUGGCAUCCAACCCCAGGGAAAGUGAAGUAUUAUCCUGCUCUGUAUCCAUGCAUGCUGAAAGUCACCAUCCACCCUGCUCCACUUCCAUUUUCCUACCUGCAAAAUAAUCCUGCUCACUUUUAAGGGGUGUUGUGAUUAAUGGCCUUGGAAAGCAUGGUCCAUGCUGGCUAACAGUGGCUUCUACUGCAGCUCGGUCAGAUCCUCUUUUACAUGUCACUCAAGGUGCAGAUGAUGCACUGCCUUCUUUUAUUUUGUGCUCAUAACACACUUUAGUUAUUUUAUAAAUAACAUGGAAUCUAGAAAGGUAAAGUGACUUUCUUAGGGAGUAGCUUGAGAAUCAUAGUGUAAGAACUUCAGUCACGCUGCUGAUUGCCAUUGACGCCACAGCCUUCUGCUUUUGAUGCUGCUCUUUAGAUCAUUAAGACUCUAAACGAUGUUUAUAUGUUCAUAUUUGAAAGUGAAGUUCCCUGAGCCAUGUCCCCUGUUCACCAUGAAUCAAGAGCAGUCCCUAAGAUAGGAGUUGAGGCCAAUGAACAAUGGAUGCCAUUGUGUUUGUUUCUAUAAAAAUAAAGCUGAUGUCUCUAUAUUGUAACUCAAAAUGGUUCGUUGACAAAUAGAUUUUAAAAACAACUGCUAGAAACGUUAGGGCUUCACUUCUUUGAUUUUCAAGAAAAAGGUUGUCAGCAUUUCCAAUAGAUCAAAGACCAUAUUUAUCAGUUGAUGAUCCUUAAUCCACCACUAGCAUUGGUCUUCACAAUGCCUACAUAAAAGGAUCAAUGGAAACCUGAAGAUGGAAAGUACUUAUUUAAAUGAGAUAAGCUACUUCAUCUAAAUUAUACGAAGAGCUGUAACUGGUAACUGGUGGGGCCACAGUACUUAACAGAGAAGUAUUGUCUACCUUCAUGAAACGUAAGGUUUGCCUGUGGAGCAGUCAUCAAACAGAAGCAUCACAAAGGAUAUUUGCAAAGUUGUCAACUAUAAAUUUGUGGUAAAGCAAUUGCCUUCACAUACUAUUUGCUAACCCCCCCUUUCCAUCCUUUUCAUUCUUUUCUUUCUGUCUUAACCAAGAGGACUUGGAAAGAAAGGUGUUUGUUCUGAUUUAAAGCUGCAGUGCAAAGACAGGAUUGCAUGGUUACUCAGUGCCCACUCCCAUGUUCUUCUUUAUAUCCUUCACCUGCGCAUGAAUGUGCACAUUCACACCCAAUGGGCCAUGGGCUCUUCCUUCCAGAACUGCCUGUUGUUCAGACGGUAUCUUCUGUCUGGAACUUACAUUGCCAAAAUUUCUGAGAAGAAGGGACCAAAUCAGCCAAGUGAUAAGUUGGGAUUAAAAGCACCUAAACCGCCUAUCACCCGAUAAAUAUUUCAAUCCUGGUGCAGCUCUAGCAAAUUCCCAGGUGAGCACUUUCUAAUAUGUUCCGUUAGAUUGAUGUCCAUGCUUAGUAUGGAUGAGAAACCUUUUUCAACCAAGUGGGAAAAGAACCAAUAUCUAGCAUCUGAAAGGACCUGGAAAACGAUUGCUUCUGCAAGAACAAUCUGUUAUUCUAUGGGUACAGAAUGUUUACAGCUCAGCUUCCUUGAGAAGCAACUCCACAGGGGAUUGUGGGUAGUUGGUGUCUAUACAUCCAGCAAGCAUCCCCCUCCCCCAGACUGCCUUUCCAUUUACUGUGAUAGAAUGUCUGCUGCAUUUCUCAAUACAGAAGUCCCUUACAGUCGAGAUUUCCCAAAACGCAGGCCAUCCAUGACCCACGUCCAUUGCUUGCUUCAUGCGGGCAGCAUAUUUAGAUUUUAAGACAGACUUCAAGGAAUUAUUCCUCUCCUCAUUCUCGUCUCUUCAGCAAACUACAUCCAAACCUUAACUACUUUACAUAGUUCCACUUUCUUUCCAUUUAUGUCUAUGGUGUGUGUGUGUGUGUGUGUGUGUGUGUGUGUGUGUGUGUGAUCUGACAGUGAUCAGUUGAAUAAGUUACAAAUCCUGUUGAAAAAAAUCCCAAGUGCAGUGAAUCUUCUUGGGUCCAUGAACUUAACUUUGCCUUAAGUCCUCUAUAGUGACUGUGGCUAUAACUUCGAUGUACAUGUCAACUUGGCUAAGAUUUUUAAAAAAAAGUUUCAAACAAUACUCACUGAUUCUGGUCUUUAUGGUUGAAACUUAGAGUGGGUUGAAAACUCAUGGGACAAAAGCAAAACAAAGCAAGCAAAAAGAAAACAAGCAAAACCAAUAUUGCUAAAAGUUGGUUUUAGAAGGAUUAAAAAUGACCCAUGUAGGUAGAAGAGGCCUACCUUCCAUAAGCUAUAGACUUUUCAGUUGUUUAGUCUAGGGUACAUAAAGGUUUAUAGUAAAUACAUUGUUCUCUGGAUAUUCCUUACCAGGUCUGUGUUCUAGUUUAUCCUAGAGAGAUAGCUUGACAGAGUUAAAUUAACAUUUAUCCAUAAGGAUUUUUUUUUAAAGAAUAGAGAAGAAAUCAAGUAGAUUCUAUUCAGAGUCCUGGAUUAAGGAAAUGGGCCACUGUUAAUGUACAAACACAAGCAAAGCUGGUUGGGUUGGGUUGCAAUGAUUGUUCAAAUAUAUGGCAUUAACGAUGUAAUACAAAUUAAUUAGAUCCACUGUUGAUGUUUUGGGGAAUCAAACCUUGAACAUAUAUAGUUUUGUAGGGGAUAUAGCUAGAAAGCAUUCUACGCACUACCCAAUGUGACUAAACGUGGUGAGAAUGCUUGGGUAACCAACAUGAGACAAGACGUGGUUAUUCAAUACCUUAGGAAAGAGUAACAGAGGGAGACAGAUGUUGAUGGGGACAUUAGGCACAAUUCCUCUAUAUACUAGCCAAAAUUAAUUCCCAAAUUUUGGAUAGAAGGACUAUUAGCUGUUUUCAAAAUUUAAAAAAAAAACAAAACUACUUUUAAAAAAUAAAGAACACAUAAAGAUUUGCUACAUGAGUGACAUCAUCUGAACCCAGACAACAGAGACGCCUAAUACAGAAGGGUUCUGCUGUGCGUGUAAAGAUGAGAAGGAGGGGAACCAAUGGGCAGGGAAGCUCCUGAGGGUGCAGUGGAAAGGAAGGGAUAUUCAUCAAGGCUCAUAUAGAGGAGAGUCUCUCUCUGCUGUGGGACUCCUUAUGUCAGGUUAACGAAAACCAUGAAGACCCCAAUCUGAGAUCUUCAAGCAGUCAGGUAUUUUCGGUGAGAGGGCUGCCUUGAAGGGUAUUGUAAGAAUUGCAACUCAGAACUUCUGCUGUGAAUGCCCGAGGCCCAAUUCUCUCAUUCAGAAAAAAAGGUUGCUCAUUGACUGAUCUUCGGUGUUAAUCCCUGUCACCCCACACCUACUUAGAAAUUACCUAUAGGCUUUUCUCCCCUCACCACUUAAAAAUGUCCCUUUGUAGUACUCUCAAUUUCUGAGAGUCCACUAAAACUGCACCAGACACUAAAGAAAGAGUGGGGGAAUGUUUAUUUCUAUUUCUUAUUCUUGUUAAUUCAAUUACAACUAUCUCAGCAUAUCAUCAGGAAUUUAACUUUAUACUGAAAAGAUGAGUUCCUAAAAUAUACGUCAAUAAUGUGUCUUGAAUACAGAGGGAAGAAAAGAUAGUAAGUAAAAUUUAGUGCAAAAGAUCAUAUUUUCAACCAUCAUGAGGCUGGUAAUCCGGAAAAGGAAUUUGGCUCCUUGUGUUUUGAGAGGCAAUGUGCUCCUGUACUUAAGCACACAGAAGCUGGCAAAAGUGGCUAGAACCCAUCCCAGACAUGCCUCUCAAUGAGGGAACAAAUUGCUGAAUGCUACAUCCAACAUUGGAGAUGCCAGUGUGCAGGCAGUCAGAGAUGCCGAGGGUUGUAAUUUGAACAAAAUGUCACUGUUUAGAGAUUUUCCUUUUACUGUGCUUUCCUUACGAUGAUAAACCACAGAGCCUGUGCAUGGGAUAAUAACACAAAAUGUUUGACAGCUUUUCCCACAAUUGUAUGGCAAUCUGUUUGCCUAAUUAUUGUUGGUAUUCCCCCACGCUAGUCAGUUGCUGGAGAGCAAUGUCAGAGUGGGCGUGGUCUUUCCCAUCCUGUUCUGCUUGGCCCGGGCUGUGCUGUUGGAUUAGAGUUGACCACCAUCACCUAUCUGUGCUAUGGAAAAUGCUGAAUUAGCCUUGGAGUCCUGUAUUCAUGUGGGGUUGUAGAUCUGCCACCCUACCAGACAGCAAAACAAAGGAAUAAAAAUCUGGUGGGGAAUGUUGGGUCUGAAAAGG
rnacentral:lncRNA from 1 species